rnacentral:rRNA from 1 species
AGCGGCGGAUGGGUGAGUAACACGUGGGGAACCUGCCCCUAAGUCUGGGAUACCAUUUGGAAACAGGUGCUAAUACCGGAUAAUAAAGCAGAUCGCAUGAUCAGCUUUUGAAAGGCGGCGUAAGCUGUCGCUAAGGGAUGGCCCCGCGGUGCAUUAGCUAGUUGGUAAGGUAACGGCUUACCAAGGCGACGAUGCAUAGCCGAGUUGAGAGACUGAUCGGCCACAUUGGGACUGAGACACGGCCCAAACUCCUACGGGAGGCAGCAGUAGGGAAUCUUCCACAAUGGACGCAAGUCUGAUGGAGCAACGCCGCGUGAGUGAAGAAGGUUUUCGGAUCGUAAAGCUCUGUUGUUGGUGAAGAAGGAUAGAGGUAGGAACUGGCCUUUAUUUGACGGUAAUCAACCAGAAAGUCACGGCUAACUACGUGCCAGCAGCCGCGGUAAUACGUAGGUGGCAAGCGUUGUCCGGAUUUACUGGGCGUAAAGCGAGCGCAGGCGGAAAAAUAAGUCUAAUGUGAAAGCCCUCGGCUUAACCGAGGAACUGCAUCGGAAACUGUUUUUCUUGAGUGCAGAAGAGGAGAGUGGAACUCCAUGUGUGGCGGUGGAAUGCGUAGAUAUAUGGAAGAACACCAGUGGCGAAGGCGGCUCUCUGGUCUGCAACUGACGCUGAGGCUCGAAAGCAUGGGUAGCGAACAGGAUUAGAUACCCUGGUAGUCCAUGCCGUAAACGAUGAGUGCUAAGUGU